UACGUAGGGUGCGAGCGUUAAUCGGAAUUACUGGGCGUAAAGCAUGCGCAGGCGGUUUUGUAAGCCAGAUGUGAAAUCCCCGGGCUUAACCUGGGAAUGGCAUUUGGGACUGCAAGGCUUGAGUGCGGCAGAGGAGACUGGAAUUCCUGGUGUAGCAGUGAAAUGCGUAGAUAUCAGGAGGAACACCGAUGGCGAAGGCAGGUCUCUGGGCUGACACUGACGCUCAUGCACGAAAGCGUGGGGAGCAAACAGG
rnacentral:rRNA from 1 species